GACGCCGAUCGGUUAUGGAAUCGGCAAGGUUUCCGGAAAUUUGGUCUUAACCAAGAUCAUGAAGAAAAAAUGGUACGAUUCCGCCACGGCGUUG
rnacentral:tRNA from 1 species